UACCUGGUUGAUCCUGCCAGUAGUCAUAUGCUUGUCUCAAAGAUUAAGCCAUGCAUGUGCAAGUAUGAACCAAUUUGAACUGUGAAACUGCGAAUGGCUCA
rnacentral:rRNA from 1 species